GUCGAGAAUAAUUCACAAUGGACGAAAGUCUGAUGGUGCAACGCCGCGUGGAGGAUGACGGUCUUCGGAUUGUAAACUCCUGUCAUCCGGGAGUAAGACCUGGCUGUGAAUAGCAGACAGGGUUGAUAGUACCGGAAGAGGAAGGGACGGCUAACUUCGUGCCAGCAGCCGCGGUAAUACGAAGGUCCCGAGCGUUGUUCGGAAUCACUGGGCGUAAAGGGAGCGUAGGCGGCGUGGUAAGUCAGAUGUGAAAUGCCGGGGCUCAACCCCGGAACUGCAUCCGAUACUGCCGUGCUAGAGGAUUGGAGAGGUAGCUGGAAUUCUUGGUGUAGCAGUGAAAUGCGUGGAGAUCAAGAGGAACACUCGUGGCGAAAGCGAGCUACUGGACAAUAUCUGACGCUGAGGCUCGAAGGCCAGGGUAGCGAAAGGGAUUAGAAACCCCAGUAGUCC
rnacentral:rRNA from 1 species